GCUUGUGAUGUUAGAAGCCACUUGACCGAGUUUUGUGAGGGGGCAAAGCGAUUUACACACGAAUGUCAAUAGCAUCUGCUCAUUGGUUUGCUUCAAAGAUUUUCCACCAAAUCCCAGCAAGGGUGAAGUAGUUGAAAUCUGGGUUUUGCUGCAGUGUGAAUCAUGUUUGCUUAGCCAGCUAUAUCGAAGAUUAGACACAUGCAUGAAGAAGACCGGGCAGCAGCAGAUGGAUUACAGAAUGGACACAGAAGGUAGAAACAGAUGGAGUACAGUGAACAUGAAAAUGAUUCACCUUGGAUAAGGUGAUUGAGUCAGGCACAUGAGCAGGAAUCUGUACGGAAGCAGAGUAGCUGGGGAUCCAAUCAAUGCUCUGAUAGGAAAUCUUGGCAUCUCAGGAUACAGAUGAGCCCAGGGAGCUGCUCCACCAAAUGCCAGACAAGAUAAGUAUUGUCUGUGUUCAUAUCCAUGUAUGUGUGUAUGUAUAUAUACAUAUAGGUACACUAGCUCACUCAAACACCUAACUUGUCAUCUUCCCUAAAUCAGAGGCAUUUUUCUGCAUUGAACUGUAUAAAAUUUAUUAUGAUAGGAUUUAUAGAUUAAUAUUCAGAGCCAGUGUUAAAAAUUUAAGAAUAUUCAGUGAUUUAUCCCUGUUUCUCUUCAUCCACAAUUCUUGAUACAAAGAGCAUGAAUGAUGUUAAAAGAUUAGGAAUAAUGCAGCCUGUACAGAAAUAGUCACAGCUGUGGCAGAGCAAGAAGAAGCAUGGAGAUCUGGAGUCAGAUAUAGAACUUAGGAGCUUAACGGAAAGCAGCUCUUACAAAUUGGUGAUGAGGAUGAGUGGGAAAAAGAAGGUAAGCAGUUUGACUUCAUACAGAUAAUGCUGUUUUUAAGAGAGCAGGUUCAAACUCUGUCAAAAGAAUCAAAAUAACUUGCAAAAUAGAUAAUUAUUGCUUACUGAAUA